rnacentral:rRNA from 1 species
GACGAACGCUGGCGGCGUGCUUAACACAUGCAAGUCGAACGGAAAGGCCCCUUUGGGGGUACUCGAGUGGCGAACGGGUGAGUAACACGUGAGUAACCUGCCCUUGACUUCGGGAUAACUUCAGGAAACUGGGGCUAAUACCGGAUAGGAAUCCUUGCUGCAUGGUGGGGGUUGGAAAGCUUCGGCGGUUUUGGAUGGACUCGCGGCUUAUCAGCUUGUCGGUGGGGUAGUGGCUUACCAAGGCUUUGACGGGUAGCCGGCCUGAGAGGGCGACCGGCCACAUUGGGACUGAGAUACGGCCCAGACUCCUACGGGAGGCAGCAGUGGGGAAUAUUGCACAAUGGGCGGAAGCCUGAUGCAGCAACGCCGCGUGCGGGAUGACGGCCUUCGGGUUGUAAACCGCUUUCAGCAGGGGCGAAGCUUGUGGUGACGGUACCUGCAGAAGAAGCACCGGCUAACUACGU